GGAGCGGGCAAGGCGGUCGCCGGCGGAUUGCAACAGAUCCGCGGGAGGAAAGUCCGAGCUCCAUAGGGCGAAGGUGCUGGGUAACACCCAGUGGGGGCAACCCCAAGGAAAGUGCCGCAGAAAAUAUACCGCCGUGAAACAUUGUUUCCCGGUAAGGGUGAAAAGGCGAGGUAAGAGCUCACCGCGGUCCGGGCGACCGGACCGGCACGGUAAACCCCACCUGGAGCAAGACCAAAUAGGGAGGCUUUGGCCGGCCCGGCUCGCCUCCGGGUAGGUCGCUUGAGGCCGCGGGCAACCGCGGUCGUAGAUGAAUGAUCGCCGCCCCCGACCUUGCGUCGGGGGAACAGAACUCGGCUUACUGCCCGCUCCGGUU
rnacentral:RNase_P_RNA from 1 species